rnacentral:lncRNA from 1 species
AAGAAUGGGAUAAAGAGUUGGCUUACAAUUGCCACUUCACACAAUACAUAAAUUAAACAUACAUCAUUCAGAGUACAAUCAAGAUCCGACUAUGGAACCAAAAUAAAAGAAGACAACCCCAAAUGCUAGAUCCCUGAUCGUCCCAACUAGGCUCCACUACUGAUCAACAGGAAACGAAUACUAACGACCAAGGUCCUCGUCGAACUCCCACUUGAGUUCGGUAGCAUCACCUGCACUGGUAUCGUCGGCACCUGCAACUGUUUUGGUAGAAUCUGUGAGUCACGAGGACUCAGCAAUCUCACACCCGCGAGAUCAAGACUAUUUAAGCUUAUAGGAAGGAUGGGGUAAUGAGGUGGAGCUGCAGCAAGCACUAAGCAAAUAUGGUGGCUAACAUACGCAAAUAAGAGCGAGAAGAGGAGCACGCAACGGUCGAGAAGCUAGAAGUGAUCCUGAAACUACUUACGUCCAAACAUAACCCAAAACCGUGUUCACUUCCCGGACUCCGCCGAAAAGAGACCAUCACGUCUACACAUGCGGUUGAUGCAUUUUAAUUAAAUCAAGUGUCAAGUUCUCUACAACCGGACAUUAACAAAUUCCCAUCUGCCACAUAAUCGCGGGCACGACUUUCGAAAGAUAAUACCCCGCAGGGGUGUCCCAACUUAGCCCAUGAUAAGCUCUCACGAUCAACGAAGGAUAUUCCUUCUCCUGGGAAGACCCGAUCAGUCUCGGAAUCCCGGUUACAAGACAUUUCGACAAUGGUAAAACAAGUCCAGCAAAGCCGCCCGAUGUGCCGACGAUCCCGAUAGGAGCUGCACAUAUCUCGUUCUCAGGGAAACACCGGAUGAGCACUACGUACAACUAAAACCAGACCUCAAGUUUCCCCGAGGGGGCGCUGCAAGUGGCUCUAGUUCGGACCAACACUUAGAGAAGCAUUGGCCCGGGGGGGCUAAAUAAAGAUGACCCUCGGGUUGGCCGACCCAAGGGAAGGGUAAUAGGUUGUUAGGCAAAUGUAAAACUAAGGUUGGGCCUUGCUGGAGGAGUUUUAUUCAAAGCAAACUUCAAGGGGUUCCCAUAGCACCCAACCGCGUAAGGAACGCAAAAUCAAGGAACAUAACACCGGUAUGACGGAAAACUAGGACGGCAAGAGUGGAACAAAACACCAGGCAUAAGGCCGAGCCUUCCACCCUUUACCAAGUAUAUAGAUGCAUUAAUUAAAAUAAGAGAUAUUGUGAUAUCCCAACAUAUCCAUGUUCCAACAUGGAACAAACUUCAGCUUCAACUGCAACUAGCAACGCUAUAAGAGGGGCUGAGCAAAAUCGGUAACAUAGCCAAACAACAGUUUGCUAGGAAAGGUGGGUUAGAGGCUUGACAUGGCAAUAUGGGAGGCAUGAUAUAGCAAGUGGUAGGUAGCGCGGCAUAGCAAUAGAGCGAACAACUAGCAAGCAAAGAUAGAAGUGAUUUCGAGGGUAUGGUCAUCUUGCCUGGGAUCCCGCAAGGAAGAAGAUCAAGUCCAUAAGGUAGACGAACCAGCGUAGUCGAACGGAUCCUCACAAUCGCAACGUUACCGGAACUACCAAGGAGAAGCGCAACCGGAAAGAAGCAAACAUCAUGGUAAACAACCAUCACAUAAACAUGGCAUGAUGCACAAUCAAGUAUGAUGCAUGUUCGGUUUAAAUGAGGCAUGGCAUGGCAAAGUGCAACAAACAAUACUACAAGUUAAGUGGAGCUCAAUAUGCAACGAGUUGCAUAUUGACGAAACACCACAUCAAAUAUUUAGUUCUCUCUUGUUUAUGUACCCAACAAUAUUAAACGUUGUUAAACAUGACAAGAGGUGAAGCAUAAUUAAACUAACUAUUUAGGCAAGUUUAAAUGAGGCCGGAAACAACAAACAACAAUUCUGGAAAAACCUCACAUGCAUAUUUUGAAUUUGCUACUGUUCUGCCCAAAAACAUAUUUUAAUGUUGUUAAACAGUAAAGCAAAGUGCAUCAAGUUAAUCUAUGCAUUUUUCUACCCCAUUUACAUAUAAAGUUUAUUAAAUUCGGAGCUACGGUUAAUUAGUUACGAAAUAAAUCAUUUUAACAUGGCAUUUAUGCAAAAUUAAACAAACAGCAAGUUAAACAUUUUUAACAUGGAUGAAAGUAGCAUAUUAUGAAACUAGAUGAAAUUCUAAGCAUUUUACAUGUUUAAAAAAUUUCAAUCCGAUGCACGUUUGUUGAGUUAUUAUAUGCAUGAACAUGAGGAUGCAAUCUGUAAACAUGCAAUUUUCGGGAUAAUUGGACAAAUUCGCAGCAGCAGAAAAAAAAUACUACGGGCCGAAACUGGCUGGUCCAACAUGCACAGGAGAGGGGCGGGUGCUGCUCACCAUGGGCCAUGGCCCAGUCGGUGGAGAGUUAGGCCGGCCCUUGGCGAGGCAAGAGGAGGCCCCGCGCGGGCAACGUGGUUCUCGUCCACGCUGGUGCUGGAACAGGUCAACGAGGGUGCAGCGCUGGUCUCCUCGAUCGUGAAGCAGGGGAUGCAGGGGUCGACGGCUACGGCCGGGCUUGGCGACGCGGAUGGCGUGGAGGCGAACUGAUCCGGGCGGAGCCUCGCCGGAAUGAAGCAGGAGCGGCGGCGUGGGACUUGAGGCGCAGGGGCGAGGCGAGCUCGAGCAGAUCCGGAGGGUGGCGCUGCUCGGAGGUCACCGGACGAAGCAGGACGACGCGGCGGCGCCAUGGAGCUUGGGCGAGCUCCUGCUCGUUCCUGGGAAGGAGAGGGGGCCACUGUGAGAUGGAGAGGGAAAAAACAGGAGGAGGAGAGGUCGCAGGGUUGGCCUGGACCUUGUGACGACGGCUGCGGCUUGUCGUUCGGCGCAGGGUGAAGCAGAGGAGGCAGGAGCCGGGUCACGGCAGGCCAAGGCGGGGCACGGCAGCAUGGCGCAGGGGCGUUAGCGGAACGGGGUCGCGCCGGGGAAGAUAGGGGGUACCGUGGCGGCAUUCUCGUCGAGGUCCUCCGAGAAGAAGAUGGCGGUGACGCUGUUACAGAGAAAAGAGAGGGAGUCCAGUGAGACAGAGAGCUUCAGCGAAGGAGGGAAAAGGGGCAGGGCGGUGAGGACGGCCUGCUGGUUCGGGCGAGGAACGGAGCAACUCCGGCGAUGGCGCUCGCCGACGCGGGGAGGUGGUCCUAGACGAGGAGGCGUGCUGGUUGGCAGCGAGUGGAGGCCGAGGGGAUUUGGAUCGGGGGCGCAGCCACUGAUUGGAUGGGGAUGGAUUUUGGAUCUGGGAGGAUCCUGAUGUAGAUGGUGGCGGUGCGAGGGUAGGAUCCCUAGAAAUUAGGUGGUUUGUCUAGGUUAGGUUAGGGGGUCUAUAUAUAGCAAGUGGAUUUUUGGAUAAGGGCAUUUGGUCCCUCCGAUCUUAAUCGGACGGUCCCGGAUAAAUAGGCUAGGGAGACCAAAUAAGAAAACGGAGAUGUUUUAUAGAUGUUUGGGGAUGAUCCGGAUCCAAUGGUCACGACUGAGCGGUUCGAGUUCGGGACAGCUUGACGCGCACGCAAGGGGGUCUAUGCACUGUGCAGAGAGAUGAGGCGGACAAAGAAGAGGGAAACAAGAACCCGGUUGGUCUCGAAAUGGUCAACGAAGGCAGGGGACACGGCAACUACAAACGGAUGCAAGCUUUAUGAUAACAUGCAAAUGCAAUGCGCAUGAUGCUAUGAGAUGAGAUGCAACAAACAAAUAAAUAACACAACUGACUCGCAAAACAAGGAAGGCAUCUGGAGCGUCGGUCUCGGGGCAUCACAACACUCCUCCACUUACAAGAGAUCUCGUCCUGAGAUCUAAGGAUGGCACCAGAGAGAAACGAAAGAGGAAGAGGUAAAACAAAGUUGCUUCUUUGAAAAACAAGUGAAACCACAAACCUUAAAGGUUGAAAAGACAUGAAAAGAACACAAGGGUAAGGAUGAAUGGAAACCACUGGUUGAAAUGAGAUGUACAAGGAAUGAUAAAGAACAAUUACGACAACACUCCAGUUGAAAAUGGAAGGGAUAGAAUACGAACUUGGCAAAAUGAAAGCACUUGGAUGAGACUCCUGUUAAAAGAGGAAUGAUAGACACAACACUCCGGUUAAAUGGAUAAGCAAUAAAAGAACAUGAUCUUGUGAAAACGAGAUGAUUGGUAAUGAGAGCAACAUCACAAUGCCUCUGGGACGAACGAAUAAAAGAUAGAUCGUCGGAAUAAGAGAACGGAGAAGGAAAUGAUAACUUCUACCACAAUUGAAUUUGGGAAGCAUCCUUCCAAGAAGGUUAGAAUGGAGUUGUUGGAAAACCAACAACGAAAAGAAUAAGCUUGUAGUGGGCUUAUGGAAAACUUCUCAAAAUUAUGAGGUGAAAUUUUUGCCACUAACGAAAACAAUUGCUUGCUUGAGAUCAACGAAGAGAUGAAAUCUUCUCCCGCCGAGAGGAUGGGAGAAAACUUGGAUCAUUGAUAGACACCACAAUUAGCAACAUUCCUUCGAGAAGGCUUUAAGUGAAAUCUAUACCAAGAUAACGUCAACAAAGAAAUUGUUGGGUUGAAAAGAUACCAUGAAUGAAGAAAAUAUGAUGGGUUUAAAUAUCUCAUUCUUGAUAACUUGUGAAUCAUGAAACAUGAAAAGAAAUUGUCAAGAAUGACAUAUCACCAUCUCAAAAUAAGGUAGAAAGAAUUGCACUUCGGAAUGCAAGAUGAAGAAUGCUUGGACUCCUCAAAACAUAACAUGUGUUAAGCACCCUGUUUAAUUUUGAGUAUAUCUUGGCGGAUCAUAACUUCGAGAGAAUUCUUGAAGAACAAUUGAAGAAUGAAAGGAAUCCCUUGAUGAGCCACCAUGCUGAUCCUCCAUGAAGAACUCCGAUAAUAAAAGAAUGAUCAAACAAAAGGGAAAGUUGGAAAGAACUCUGGGAGAAGCCUUGCAAUGAUUAGAUGAAGCUUUGAAAUGAUAUAAUUGAAAUAACUUGGAGCUCCGGAAAGAAAAAUGAACAAAUGAGAUCAAGAAUUUUGAAGAAUCUCUGGAAUAAGGAAUUAAUCACUUGGGUAAAACAAGAAUAAGAAUUAAGUUAUGCAUAUCCUUCACCAAUUUAAAUUGAUGACAAGCAACGGAUUUGGCAUACCACUUAUUCUCGUAGAAAGGAUUAAGAGAGAUAUAGCAUAAACUUAGGAAGGUCUUCAACGAUCCACCGGUAGGAUUUGGAAGAAGGAAUGAAUUGAUAUGAUAACCAAGGAAGGGAACUCUUGAACGAACCACCGUAAGAAUUGAAAAUGAACAAAGAAAAGAUAAAGAAACACCGGGAAGAAUUAUAAAAGAACGAAGAUACUUUAGAGAAUUUAGAUACAUGAGAACGAAGAGAUCAUGAACUAAUUAGAGGAUAUUUGAACGAUGCACCGGUAAGAUUUGGGGAAUGAGAUCUGAAAGCUGAGAAUGAAUAAUACUGAGAUGAUGGGCUCCGGAGAAUCAAACUGAAAAGACUCCUGAAGUGCUUCGGUUGGGUGAAAAGAAUUCUCGCAAUCGAAAAUAAUUAUGAGAGGAUGGCAUCAAGCUAGAACCAUGAAUCUUGAAGAGAAUGGAGCAAGAUUUAAGAGAAACUCUUCUUUGGUCUUCAAAUGUUGAGAAUGACGAUGAGAAACACCACCAUGAAUUGUUGAGAUGCCCCGGGAUGAAAAUUAGAAAGGGUGAACCAACGAUGAAAAGAAUUUGAACAUGAUUUUGGAGAAGGAAUAUGACUGAUGAAAAUUCAUUCUUACGUCACACCUUGAAAAUGAAUUUGGGAAUAGCUCCGGCAAAAUUAGAAGAGUCCGGUAAGAUCCUGGGAAAAGACCUGUGGGUUAGGGCCCCCUCAAAAGAAACACCAUUGAACGAAUUAAAAGAUAGAUUGCACCGGUUGAAUUAAAUGGCUUGAAUAAGGUAAGACCUCGAAAUAGCUAGAAUUGAUGUGGAGUUGAAACACGAAUCUUCAAAGAUAUCUUCAGCACUCCGGAACAAUUGAAUAGCGAGAAGUGGAUGAUUAAGAGGUGCACCGGUACGAGAAAAACAAUUGAAACGAGGAAAAUAUAUGAUCGACAAAGCUUGAAUUGAAUCCACCGGAGAAGAAAAUGAGAACGAAGACGGAUGAACUUGAAGCUCCGUUAGUAUCUUCCUGAGAAUCACCGGAUAAGAACAUUGACGGAAAAGGAUGGAGAGGCUUCCCAUCCAUAAAAGGAUACAUGAUUGAGAAAUCUGAGUCAUUGAAGAAAAGGGUGGGAGGGCGGGAAAACAAAGACAACUUGGGACAGAUGAAGCAAACACCGUUGCAAAGAACUGAGAAUUGAUCUCGCGAAUGUUGAAAUGAUCGGAUCCACUUGAAAAAGAGCACGUCGGUUGGAAAAGAAUUGGCAUGACAAUCCCGAUGAUCAAGAAGGAUUUGGUAUUCACAUAGAAGUAUGAGAACACCGCUUAGGAAAGGUAUGGAAUCAACACCUGACAAUGAAGCAACUCGAAUACCACAACUUAAAACAAAACAAAGGAUUGGCUCGCAGAAUAAGCCAGAAACAAACAUAUGAUAGAGAUUUCGCCCAAGUGUUCGUGAUGAGGCCCCACGGGCACGACGUACAGCGGACGUCACAAAUGACAAACAAGACGUGCCCGAAUUGGCAUAGCCAAGGAUUCUUUAAGACGACUCGCGACCACUGUAAAUCGACUGUGAAAAGCGAACCACUAGACGUUGGACCCCAAUCUCAAAUCAUACAUCCGUCGAAAAGAUAUCCUAGGAGCUACUUGAAUUCCCACCUAUAAAACUCCCAAAACUUUCUGGUUAUGCAAUCUGGUGUUGGGUAUCCAGGGGACGCAAUAUAUCUCACCCAAACUAGCAAUCCCUAGAUCCAGCUGUAUCCAUCCGUCAACACAUAACCAAGAAAACUUCGGAAAUCGUGUACCCCAACCUUCGAAAAGCAUCCGUUAUACGAGCUAUGGCAAUACUCCCGAACUCCCGCCCCAGUACUGGGUGGCAUCGAGGUAAUCUCACCAACAACUGCAUAAAAUAGGUUUUCGAUGUCGGCGAAAAAAACUCAGGUAUUCCAGAACCGCAACGAUAAAGAUGUGACGACAACACGUCGGAGCUCAACUCCCCGGGACACUGCCACAACCCCUAAAUGUCAGGAGGCACCAAGAACAAUGUUCUUGUCACAAAACCAUCGGAACGAUUCCAAGAUACCCGCGUGAUCCUAAAUUUUUUUUGUGAAAUUUGAGGAGAGGAAAGUCAAAACAUCUACGUCAGGAGGCCUCACCGGAGCGACGAAGGGACUGAGGAGUAAAAAGAAUCCUACUCUCUGAUAUAUAUAUAUAUAUAAUCCUAAGAAUCAAAACAUUUUUUUCUAGACUCAACAACGUCAGCGAUUCGAUCAAGCAGAGGGCUCCUAAGUCGGGGAUGGCUCUGAUUACCAACUUGUAACGCCCACGAUGCGGCUAUAUCUCCCACGUGUCGAGGCACGACUUGGAGGCAUAACCGCAUGGUGGUUUUGUCGCAAGAAGGGUCAUCUUCACGCAAUCCCAUGUAAUGAACAAGAAUGGGAUUAAGAGUUGGCUUACAAUCGCCACUUCACACAAUACAUAAAUUAAACAUACAUCAUUCAGAGUACAAUCAAGAUCCGACUACGGAACCAAAAUAAAGGAAGACAACCCCAAAUGCUAGAUCCCCGAUCGUCCCAACUGGGCUCCACUACUGAUCAACAGGAAACAAAACAUAGUAACGACCAAGGUCCUCGUCGAACUCCCACUUGAGUUCAGUAGCAUCACCUGCACUGGUAUCGUCGGCACCUGCAACUGUUUUGGUAGAAUCUGUGAGUCACGAGGACUCAGCAAUCUCACACCCGCGAGAUCAAGACUAUUUAAGCUUAUAGGAAGGAUGGGGUAAUGAGGUGGAGCUGCAGCAAGCACUAAGCAAAUAUGGUGGCUAACAUACGCAAAUAAGAGCGAGAAGAGGAGCAACGCAACGGUCGAGAAGCUAGAAGUGAUCAAGAAGUUAUCCUGAAACUACUUACGUCCAAACAUAACCCAAAAUCGUGUUCACUUCCCGGACUCCGCCGAAAAGAGACCAUCACGGCUACACACGCGGUUGAUGCAUUUUAAUUAAAUCAAGUGUCAAGUUCUCUACAACUGGACAUUAACAAAUUCCCAUCUGCCACAUAACCGCGGGCAUGACUUUUGAAAGAUAAUACCCUGCAGGGGUGUCCCAACUUAGCCCAUGAUAAGCUCUCACGAUCAACGAAGGAUAUUCCUUCUCCCGGGAAGACCCGGUCAGUCUCGAAAUCCUGGUUACAAGACAUUUCGACAAUGGUAAAACAAGUCCAGCAAAGCCGCCCGAUGUGCCGACAAUCCCAAUAGGAGUUGCACAUAUCUCGUUCUCAGGGCAACACCGGAUGAGCACUACGUACAACUAAAACCAGACCUCAAGUUUCCCCGAGGGGGCGCUGCAAGUGGCUCUAGUUCGGACCAACACUUAGAGAAGCAUUGACCCGGGGGGCUAAAUAAAGAUGACCCUCAGGUUGGCCGACCCAAGGGAAGGGUAAUAGGUUGUUAGGCAAAUGUACAACCAAGGUUGGGCCUUGCUGGAGGAGUUUUAUUCAAAGCGAACUGUCAAGGGGUUCCCAUAACACCCAACCGCGUAAAGAAUGCAAAAUCAAGGAACAUAACACCGGUAUGACGGAAAACUAGGGCGGCAAGAGUGGAACAAAACACCAGGCAUAAGGCCGAGCCUUCCACCCUUUACCAAGUAUAUAGAUGCAUUAAUUAAAAUAAGAGAUAUUGUGACAUCCCAACAUAUCCAUGUUCCAACAUGGAACAAACUUCAGCUUCAACUGCAACUAGCAACGCUAUAAGAGGGGCUGAGCAAAAGCGGUAACAUAGUCAAACAACGGUUUCCUAGGAAAGGUGGGUUAGAGGCUUGACAUGGCAAUAUGGGAGGCAUGAUAUAGCAAGUGGUAGGUAGCGCGGCAUAGCAAUAGAGCGAACAACUAGCAAGCAAAGAUAGAAGUGAUUUCGAGGGUAUGGUCAUCUUGCCUGGGAUCCCGCAAGGAAGAAGAUCAAGUCCAUAAGGUAGACGAACCAACGUAGUCGAACGGAUCCUCACAAUCGCAACGUUACCGGAACUACCAAGUAGAAGCGCAACCGGAAAGAAGCAAACAUCAUGGUAAACAACCAUCACAUAAACAUGGCAUGAUGCACAAUCAAGUAUGAUACCUGUCCGGUAUAAAUGAGGCAUGGCAUGGCAAAGUGCAACAAACAAUACUACAAGUUAAGUUGAGCUCAAUAUGCAACGAGUUGCAUAUUGACGAAACACCACAUCAAAUAUUUAGUUCUCUCUUGUUUAUGUACCCAACAAUAUUAAACGUUGUUAAACAUGACAAGAGGUGAAGCAUAAUUAAACUAACUAUUUAGGCAAGUUUAAAUGAGGCCGGAAACAACAAACAACAAUUCCGGAAAAACCUCACAUGCAUAUUUUGAAUUUGCUACUGUUCUGCCCAAAACCAUAUUUUAAUGUUGUUAAACAGUAAAGCAAAGUGCAUCAAGUUAAUCUAUGCAUUUUUCUACCCCAUUUACAUAUAAAGUUUAUUAAAUUCGGAGCUACUGUUAAUUAGUUAUGAAAUAAAUCAUUUUAACAUGGCAUUUUGCAAAAUUAAACAAACAGCAAGUUAAACAUUUUUAACAUGGAUGAAAGUAGCAUAUUAUUAAACUAGAUGAAAUUCUAAGCAUUUUACAUGUUUAAAACAUUUUAAUCCGAUGCACGGUUCUUGAGUUAUUAUAUGCAUGAACAUGAGGGUGCAAUCUGUAAACAUGCAGUUUUCGGGAUAAUUGGACAAAUUCGCAGCAGCAGAAAAAAAAUACUACGGGCCGAAACUGGCUGGUCCAACAUGCACAGGAGAGGGGCGGGUGCUGCUCACCAUGGGCCAUGGCCCAGUCGGUGGAGAGUUAGGCCGGGCCUUGGCGAGGCAAGAGGAGGCCCCGCGCGGGCAACGUGGUUCUCGUCCACACUGGCGCUGGAACAGGUCAACAUGGGUGCGGCGCUGGUCUCCUCGAUCGUGAAGCAGGGGAUGCAGGGGUCGACAGCUGCGGCCGGGCUUGGCGACGCGGACGGCGUGGAGGCGAACGGAUCCGGGCGGAGCCUCGCCGGAAUGAAGCAGGAGCGGCGGCGUGGGACUUGAGGCGCAGGGGCGAGG